UUUUCCUACGGGACGCAGCAGUGGGGAAUAUUGGGCAAUGGGCGCAAGCCUGACCCAGCAACGCCGCGUGAAGGAAGAAGGCUUUCGGGUUGUAAACUUCUUUUGUCAGGGACGAAGCAAGUGACGGUACUUGACGAAUAAGCCACGGCUAACUACGUGCCAGCAGCCGCGGUAAUACGUAGGUGGCAAGCGUUAUCCGGAUUUACUGGGUGUAAAGGGAGCGUAGACGGUGAUGCAAGUCAGAAGUGAAAGCCCGCGGCUCAACUGCGGGACUGCUUUUGAAACUGUAUAACUAGAGUGCAGGG
rnacentral:rRNA from 1 species